rnacentral:lncRNA from 1 species
CCCAUCAAAGGUAAGCUCAGUUUCGUUUCAUUUAUUGGAACUUCCUCAUUAUUAACGAAACUAAUGAACUCUUAGUUGUCUUAGUUGUCACCAAGACUUAACAUGCUGCUAUCUAACUUCAUGUGCCCCGACCUCACUUUUUCUUUCAAGGCCAAAGAUGUUCUAGGGUAGUCACAUCUAUAGGGCAUUUGCAGGCCUGGCUAUAAGUCCUUUUCUGCAAUUGGGCAUGCUCUUGUUUUCCAUUAGAGCAGUGGUCUCAGAGGCCAUGUGUGUGAGGUAGAAGGAUCCUGGAUCCUCUUGGAGGAGAGGAACCAAGAUACAACCUGAGACUGUGCCAGGAGAAAGAAGUAAAGCUCUGUUACCAUAGGCAUCUGAGAUGUGGAGUUUUUUGUUACAGCAGCUAGUGCAUUACCCUGACUACUGUGAAAUUAAUAAACACAGACAGAGAAAUUCCUGGAAAGCAGGAUGUUGAUGAGAUGGGCAUUCCAUGGAGAGAGACGUUCCAUUUUGUUCUUUCACUGUCAUCCUGAGUAUCUGUCUGGGAGUUAGCAGUGUGUUGACUUCCUCCCAUGAUUCCCACGGAUAAAAGGCGGCAGAGCCUGAGGUCCCAGGAAGGCCAGCUCUUCUGCUGGGCCCACAUUCUGCCAUGGGCUCGCUUGCCAGCCAGCUUCUUUGGAAGGCACAUCACCCUUGAUCCCAUCCCUGAUCUUGCUCGAGGGGCUUGGCCAAGGGGUGGAGGCCUGGACCCGCAGAGCCCAGGGGUAAGCUGGCCCUGAUUUCAGGCUAAAGAAUGCUCCAUGGGCCCCUUUACUGGUUGCCAUCUCUCGGCUUUGUGUGCGGGGAAACAUCUUGAACAAAAUGUCACGGAGAGAGCAUCUCAGCCGUGUCCUGCUGACUGAGGACAUGGGCUGCCGGGUUUGCCAUCUGCCUGCAGCCUCUCCGAGGUAAUUAUAUCAGAGUCUCUCAAGUCCUGGAACAAGGUGGAUGUCAGAUGCACUUUUCUUCCUCUAGGAAGGGAACCAGAGUCUUUAUAGCAUCAGUGAAAAGGAACUCUGUCCUCCUUAUCUUCCUGCUUUUCUCAGUUCAGCCCCCAUUCUUAUUCCAUUGGUGCCUGGAGGAAGUCUUGGUUAAAAGCUUUCUGAUGGAGACAUUGAUGAUUAGUUUGGAAAGAGCCAGAGUGAGUGGUCCCGACUCCUCCCCCGCUUCCAGGAUGUGCAGGGCUGCACCCAGAACAGAUGCCUUCCUUUGGACAAGGGUCUCAACACCUCUGGGGGCACUGCUGGUCUUGAGAUUCACUCCUUUUCUCAUGUUUGGUCCACUCAGUGUCAGAUGUUUUGCUAGGUGA